AUGAACGCUGGCGGCGUGCCUAAUACAUGCCAGUCGAGCGAACAGACGAGGAGCUUGCUCCUCUGACGUUAGCGGCGGACGGGUGAGUAGCACGUGGAUAACCUACCUAUAAGACUGGGAUAACUUCGGGAAACCGGAGCUAAUACCGGAUAAUAUAUUGAACCGCAUGGUUCAAUAGUGAAAGACGGUUUUGCUGUCACUUAUAGAUGGAUCCGCGCCGCAUUAGCUAGUUGGUAAGGUAACGGCUUACCAAGGCAACGAUGCGUAGCCGACCUGAGAGGGUGAUCGGCCACACUGGAACUGAGACACGGUCCAGACUCCUACGGGAGGCAGCAGUAGGGAAUCUUCCGCAAUGGGCGAAAGCUUGACGGAGCAACGCCGCGUGAGUGAUGAAGGUCUUCGGAUCGUAAAACUCUGUUAUUAGGGAAGAACAAAUGUGUAAGUAACUAUGCACGUCUUGACGGUACCUAAUCAGAAAGCCACGGCUAACUACGUG
rnacentral:rRNA from 1 species